UGGGCGAAUGUAAAACUUUCA
rnacentral:piRNA from 1 species